GACAGAGGGUGCAAACGUUGUUCGGAUUUACUGGGCGUAAAGCGCGUGUAGGCGGCUUUGCAAGUCGGAUGUGAAAGCCCACGGCUCAACCGUGGAAGUGCAUCCGAAACUGCAUGGCUUGAGUCUCGGAGAGGAAGGUGGAAUGCUUGGUGUAGAGGUGAAAUUCGUAGAUAUCAAGCAGAACACCUGCGGCGAAGGCGGCCUUCUGGACGAUGACUGACGCUGAGACGCGAAAGCGUGGGGAGCAAGCAGG
rnacentral:rRNA from 1 species